AGGGCGCACGGUGGAUGCCUUGGCACUAGAAGCCGAUGAAGGACGUUACUAACGACGAUAUGCUUUGGGGAGCUGUAAGUAAGCUUUGAUCCAGAGAUUUCCGAAUGGGGAAACCCAGCAUGAGUUAUGUCAUGUUAUCGAUAUGUGAAUACAUAGCAUAUCAGAAGGCACACCCGGAGAACUGAAACAUCUUAGUACCCGGAGGAAGAGAAAGAAAAUUCGAUUCCCUUAGUAGCGGCGAGCGAAACGGGAAGAGCCCAAACCAACAAGCUUGCUUGUUGGGGUUGUAGGACACUCUAUACGGAGUUACAAAGGACGACAUUAGACGAAUCAUCUGGAAAGAUGAAUCAAAGAAGGUAAUAAUCCUGUAGUCGAAAAUGUUGUCUCUCUUGAGUGGAUCCUGAGUACGACGGAGCACGUGAAAUUCCGUCGGAAUCUGGGAGGACCAUCUCCUAAGGCUAAAUACUCUCUAGUGACCGAUAGUGAACCAGUACCGUGAGGGAAAGGUGAAAAGCACCCCGGAAGGAGAGUGAAAUAGAACCUGAAACCGUGUGCUUACAAGUAGUCAGAGCCCGUUAAUGGGUGAUGGCGUGCCUUUUGUAGAAUGAACCGGCGAGUUACGAUUUGAUGCAAGGUUAAGCAGUAAAUGUGGAGCCGUAGCGAAAGCGAGUCUGAAUAGGGCGUUUAGUAUUUGGUCGUAGACCCGAAACCAGGUGAUCUACCCUUGGUCAGGUUGAAGUUCAGGUAACACUGAAUGGAGGACCGAACCGACUUACGUUGAAAAGUGAGCGGAUGAACUGAGGGUAGCGGAGAAAUUCCAAUCGAACCUGGAGAUAGCUGGUUCUCUCCGAAAUAGCUUUAGGGCUAGCCUCAAGUGAUGAUUAUUGGAGGUAGAGCACUGUUUGGACGAGGGGCCCCUCUCGGGUUACCGAAUUCAGACAAACUCCGAAUGCCAAUUAAUUUAACUUGGGAGUCAGAACAUGGGUGAUAAGGUCCGUGUUCGAAAGGGAAACAGCCCAGACCACCAGCUAAGGUCCCAAAAUAUAUGUUAAGUGGAAAAGGAUGUGGCGUUGCCCAGACAACUAGGAUGUUGGCUUAGAAGCAGCCAUCAUUUAAAGAGUGCGUAAUAGCUCACUAGUCGAGUGACACUGCGCCGAAAAUGUACCGGGGCUAAACAUAUUACCGAAGCUGUGGAUUGUCCUUUGGACAAUGGUAGGAGAGCGUUCUAAGGGCGUUGAAGCAUGAUCGUAAGGACAUGUGGAGCGCUUAGAAGUGAGAAUGCCGGUGUGAGUAGCGAAAGACGGGUGAGAAUCCCGUCCACCGAUUGACUAAGGUUUCCAGAGGAAGGCUCGUCCGCUCUGGGUUAGUCGGGUCCUAAGCUGAGGCCGACAGGCGUAGGCGAUGGAUAACAGGUUGAUAUUCCUGUACCACCUAUAAUCGUUUUAAUCGAUGGGGGGACGCAGUAGGAUAGGCGAAGCGUGCGAUUGGAUUGCACGUCUAAGCAGUAAGGCUGAGUAUUAGGCAAAUCCGGUACUCGUUAAGGCUGAGCUGUGAUGGGGAGAAGACAUUGUGUCUUCGAGUCGUUGAUUUCACACUGCCGAGAAAAGCCUCUAGAUAGAAAAUAGGUGCCCGUACCGCAAACCGACACAGGUAGUCAAGAUGAGAAUUCUAAGGUGAGCGAGCGAACUCUCGUUAAGGAACUCGGCAAAAUGACCCCGUAACUUCGGGAGAAGGGGUGCUCUUUAGGGUUAACGCCCAGAAGAGCCGCAGUGAAUAGGCCCAAGCGACUGUUUAUCAAAAACACAGGUCUCUGCUAAACCGUAAGGUGAUGUAUAGGGGCUGACGCCUGCCCGGUGCUGGAAGGUUAAGAGGAGUGGUUAGCUUCUGCGAAGCUACGAAUCGAAGCCCCAGUAAACGGCGGCCGUAACUAUAACGGUCCUAAGGUAGCGAAAUUCCUUGUCGGGUAAGUUCCGACCCGCACGAAAGGCGUAACGAUUUGGGCACUGUCUCAACGAGAGACUCGGUGAAAUCAUAGUACCUGUGAAGAUGCAGGUUACCCGCGACAGGACGGAAAGACCCCGUGGAGCUUUACUGUAGCCUGAUAUUGAAAUUCGGCACAGCUUGUACAGGAUAGGUAGGAGCCUUUGAAACGUGAGCGCUAGCUUACGUGGAGGCGCUGGUGGGAUACUACCCUAGCUGUGUUGGCUUUCUAACCCGCACCACUUAUCGUGGUGGGAGACAGUGUCAGGCGGGCAGUUUGACUGGGGCGGUCGCCUCCUAAAAGGUAACGGAGGCGCUCAAAGGUUCCCUCAGAAUGGUUGGAAAUCAUUCAUAGAGUGUAAAGGCAUAAGGGAGCUUGACUGCGAGACCUACAAGUCGAGCAGGGUCGAAAGACGGACUUAGUGAUCCGGUGGUUCCGCAUGGAAGGGCCAUCGCUCAACGGAUAAAAGCUACCCCGGGGAUAACAGGCUUAUCUCCCCCAAGAGUUCACAUCGACGGGGAGGUUUGGCACCUCGAUGUCGGCUCAUCGCAUCCUGGGGCUGUAGUCGGUCCCAAGGGUUGGGCUGUUCGCCCAUUAAAGCGGUACGCGAGCUGGGUUCAGAACGUCGUGAGACAGUUCGGUCCCUAUCCGUCGUGGGCGUAGGAAAUUUGAGAGGAGCUGUCCUUAGUACGAGAGGACCGGGAUGGACAUACCUCUGGUGUACCAGUUGUCGUGCCAACGGCAUAGCUGGGUAGCUAUGUGUGGACGGGAUAAGUGCUGAAAGCAUCUAAGCAUGAAGCCCCCCUCAAGAUGAGAUUUCCCAACUUCGGUUAU
rnacentral:rRNA from 1 species